UUAAAGUGCGUUAGGGAUCGCAGCGAUAUCCUUUUGCGGCAACUUAAAUCUCCCAAAGCCCCCAAACCAAUCCCGCAAAAGAUUUAGUGAAGAGCCCGACCCACU
rnacentral:sRNA from 1 species